rnacentral:lncRNA from 1 species
GAGAAGGCUCUGUAACCAGACGUACGUUAAAAGCCGCGUUCAGUUCCGACUGAGAACGAUUCACAACGCGAUCACUUGCGUUUGACAACUUCACAGGCGCACUCGACAUAGUCGCCAAAAACUUGUGCGCUUGCCGCUGAGGCACGCCCACCGUCUCUAAAAUUGGAAGUCACCUAUAGGCCGGGCCAUCGCCUAAUAGGUAGGACCGCGGAAUAUGUGGAGUAUAGGUGAUUUCGCGUAUAUGAUCGUAUACAACACACCUAUAGGCGAUCUGUUGUAUACAGCAUGGUCUAUAGGCCUGUAGGCUAUAGGUUACCAUGUGUACGCAAGAAAAGCUGUGAGAGCCUGUAAUCGUUGUAUACAGGUAUGCCUUUAUGUAGGCCGCUCGUAUAUACAGUGUUCGGGCCAAAGCUGCACUAGCUGCUGCGUGCGAAACACAUUUGACCUCCCUUAAAAUGCUGCAAACUAUGAGGUCUGUGCAUAUGAAACGUAUUGUAUUCACCCUUCAUGCCGAGGCACAUGCAUCGAUGGAGCCCAUGCAUUGCCGUCAGGUACCCCUCGUCCCUAAGAUCUACUGCUGUAACAACCACGCACACAUACUGCUAGUAGUCAUAAGAGCUGUAAUUCCUGUGACCUCUGGUGUCCUGUUCGCGCCAGUUGCACCUCAAACGCUUCCACAUGAACUGUUAAACUGUUUAAAAUUUUCGUAUUCUUAAGUAUCGCGCGUGUGUAUGCUUUGAAAAUACAGGAGAUGGAAAAGGUGCGCUUACAGCGCUAGCCGUCAGAGAUUUCUGGCUUACCAGGGUCUCAAGAUCUAGGGCCUCUUUCCGAAAGCACUGAAAGGAGUUUUGCAACGUUAUGUAAUCUUUUCGGGGACUUUCCAUGGACCUGCCGGCGAAGUAAGGGAAUGAUAUGCGCACGCCGCCGAAUAACUAAUUAUCAGUAAACAGUUAACCUGCAGGUAUCACGUUGAACUUCUUAAUGCAAUGCUAACAUAAACCAAACAGGACAAGCCUACAACAUGACUUCCAAAGGGUGGCAUGUAUGUUAGAAGCGCCCUGCAUUCCGCUAAGGUACAGCUUGUUAGCUAUUUGGACGGAACAGUCUUUUUUGCGUUCUUUUCCGAUUACCUCUUACACUGCUUGUCCUGCGCAUCCUUUACAUGUACUAUGGCUAAGGGAUCCCUUCCGGAUGAUGAAGAAUGUGCUUUAUGCUGGACCAAUUACACAUCACGAUCAGCAUCGAUUAAGCGGCUCCAGGAGCUGGUACCAGCUGGUACCGG